AUUGAACGCUGGCGGCAGGCCUAACACAUGCAAGUCGAACGAGUGGCGGACGGGUGAGUAAUGUCUGGGAAACUGCCUGAUGGAGGGGGAUAACUACUGGAAACGGUAGCUAAUCCCGCAUACCAUCAGAUGUGCCAAGAUGGGAUUAGAUAGUUGGUGGGGUAACGGCUAACAAAGGCGACGAUCCCUAGCUGGUCGGAGAGGAUGACAAGCAACACUGGAACAGAGACACGGUCCAGAGUCCUACGGUAGGCAGCAGUGGGGAAUAUUGCACAAUGGGCGCAAGCCUGAUGCAGCCAUGCCGCGUGUAUGAAGAAGGCCUUCGGGUUUGAAAGUACUUUCAGCGUGGAGGCGUUACCCGCAGAAGAAGCACCGGCUAACUCCGUGCCAGCAGCCGCGGUAAUUC
rnacentral:rRNA from 1 species